UCAUAGACCUAGCUUGAGGAGACAUGUGUCUCUGCUUAAAUUGCUGCUUGAUUUUGAUGUUUAUGUUGGUUGUAUAACUGUAUGGCUACAUAUUUGAUUGAUUUAUUCCUUUUGCUACUUCAAAUCCUCGUAUGGAUUUGAACUAUUACAGUUACAUACUGGAAAAAUACGUAAGUUGGAAAAAGAGUUCUAUUUUUUCAUUUGCUGUGAUCCUCUGCGAACCAGACCAUUUUUAUGCUCUUUAGCUAGAUACGAAUAUCCGAUGUUGAACUUACUGGAGUAAGUAUAAACCAUUCUCUUCUUUGAAUCUUUUUAAUCUGUAAUUCUCAAGCCAUAAUUGCUGGUGUAUUGCAUGAUUUGCAAGGUGACUUUGCCUAUGACCAAAGGCUCUUUAU
rnacentral:lncRNA from 1 species